CCUACGGGAGGCAGCAGUGGGGAAUAUUGGGCAAUGGACGCAAGUCUGACCCAGCAACGCCGCGUGAAGGAAGAAGGCUUUCGGGUUGUAAACUUCUUUUAAGGGGGAAGAGCAGAAGACGGUACCCCUUGAAUAAGCCACGGCUAACUACGUGCCAGCAGCCGCGGUAAUACGUAGGUGGCAAGCGUUGUCCGGAUUUACUGGGUGUAAAGGGCGUGCAGCCGGAGAGACAAGUCAGAUGUGAAAUCCACGGGCUCAACCCGUGAACUGCAUUUGAAACUGCUCUUCUAGAGUGGGCGAGAAGUAUGCGGAAUGCGUGGUGUAGCGGUGAAAUGCAUAGAUAUCACGAAGAACUCCGAUUGCGAAGGCAGCAUACCGGCGCCCAACUGACGCUCAUGCACGAAAGCGUGGGUAUCGAACAGGAUUAGAUACCCCUGUAGUC
rnacentral:rRNA from 1 species